AUUCCCCUAGUAACUGCGAGUGAAGCGGGAAAAGCUCAAAUUUAAAAUCUGGCGGUCUUUGGCCGUCCGAGUUGUAGUCUGGAGAAGUGCUUUCCGCGCUGGACCGUGUAUAAGUCUCUUGGAACAGAGCGUCAUAGAGGGUGAGAAUCCCGUCUUUGACACGGACUACCAGUGCUUUGUGAUGCGCUCUCAAAGAGUCGAGUUGUUUGGGAAUGCAGCUCAAAAUGGGUGGUGAAUUCCAUCUAAAGCUAAAUAUUGGCGAGAGACCGAUAGCGAACAAGUACCGUGAGGGAAAGAUGAAAAGCACUUUGGAAAGAGAGUUAAACAGUACGUGAAAUUGCUGAAAGGGAAACGCUUGAAGUCAGUCGCGUCUGCCGGAACUCAGCCUUCCUCUCGGUUGGUGCAUUUUCUGGUAGACGGGCCAGCAUCGAUUUUGACCGUCGGAAAAGGGCUGGGGAAAUGUGGCACCUUUUGGUGUGUUAUAGUCUUCAGUCGCAUACGGCGNUCGGGAUCGAGGAACGCAGCGCGCCGCAAGGCAGGGGUUCGCCCACUUUCGCGCUUAGGAUGCUGGCAUAAUGGCUUUAAACGACCCGUCUUGAAACACGGACCAAGGAGUCUA
rnacentral:rRNA from 1 species